UAAACGAUCGCGAACUGGAUGUUGGGCNCAAUUUGGCACCNCAGUAUCGAAGNUAACGCGUUAAGUUCCCCNCUCUGGGGAGUACGUUCGCAAGACUGAAAUCUCCAAAGGAAUUGACCGGGGGCCCGCACAANCGUGUGGAGUAUGUGGUUUAAUUCAGAUGCAACCGCGAAGANCCCUAUACCUCUGCCCUUGAACAUGUCGCGAGAAUCUUUCCCAGAGAUGGAUUGGUGCCACUUCCGGGAAUCUCGAACACAGUGUGCUGCAUGGCUUUCGUCAGUUCGUUUCGUGAGAUGUUGGGGUUAANNUCCCGCAACGAGCGGCAACCCCUUGUCCUUAGUUGCCAGCACGUAAUGGUGGGAACUCUAAGGAGACCGCCGGUGACAAACCGGAGGAAGGUGGGGAUGACGUCAAGUCAUCAUGGCCCUUACGGCCAGGGCUACACACGUACUACAAUGGUAGGGACCAGAGGGCUGCAAGCCCGGGCGACGGUAAGCCAAUCCCAGAAACCCUAUCUCAGUUCCGGAUUGGAGUCUGCAACUCGACUCCAUGAAGUCGGAAUCGUCUAAGUAAUCGCAAGAUCAGCAUGCUGCGUG
rnacentral:rRNA from 1 species